CGUAUAGCCAGUUCGAUAGUAUGCUAAAGGGUAAAGUUAGAGGACUGGAAUGGUGUGUGGAUACUAACCUUGACUGGUCGCGAAUGGUAUCUGGAGCCUCCUGGUAAGUGUAGAGAGUCUUGUCUUAAUGUUGUCUUUGAGGAAGAAUCCUGGGGGUUUAAGACAGAUGUUGAUGUGUUUAUACGUAUCGUGAUGUCGUAUGAAUAGUAUAGGGAGAAGGUUUGUUAGGGGCACG
rnacentral:lncRNA from 1 species